UUUAUUACAAGUCCUGAUAUACUCAAAGUGCAUAACCUUUUACAAUAACAGGAAGGUAGGAACCCUCCAAAGCUUAUACACAAGCCUAACUAAUCCUCCCCCAGAACUGGAAACGCCCUCCAGCCUCCGAAACACCUAGAGUACUCCUCAUCACCUACAACAACAUGGGUUCGAAAACCCUGAGUACGGAGUGUACUUUCGCAAGUCUUACCCGACUAAGGAAAAAUGACUCUCAAGGAUAUGCUGGUUAAAUAGGAAUCAAGGAAAAGGCUUUAGCAAGAAUCAACUUAGAUACUUUUGCAUAAAUAGCUUACUAAAGUGAUUCCUUACUUUCAAUAUUUUAACGCCAGAUUAAAUAUUAAUAGACUCUGGUUGCAUCUAGUCUAAUUUCACCAUCUCAUCAAUACAACAUCAUUUUUACUCAUAAUGUUUACAUCCUGACUUAGGUUGUAGGUCGGAGAUCAAGUCUCCACUCUCCGGGGAUAUAACAGUGAUCUGAAUCGAUUUACUCAGCUGAGGAUCUCUAACCACACAACAUAUGUAGCACUUAACCCUUGCAUAUGUCAACCGUUCCCACAGAUCCUUCACAACGUGAACUGGUCCGCGCUACCCGGGAGCACAGUACUCCUCCAUCCAGCUCUAGCCAGGAGGGUACACGCUACUCCCACCAUCUCCCAAGCCCAGUGCGCGGUUGUCUUUUCACGUAUGGAAUAGCCGGGUUCAAGCUUACCCUGUCCCAUAUCCAGGGCAUGUGGCCAGUUAAGAUAGUCCUUGAUCAUACAGGCCUACAUACGCAUCCAAUCCUUAAUUAACCUAGGUGGAGCAUCACCUGUUCCUAACCCAAGUCCCGAUUUAAGUACUUCCAUGCUUAGGAUUGUUUGUGUUCCUUAGGAUGAAAAGAGCAUUAUAGGGAACUUUGCAGUAAGAUCCCACCAUUCUCCCAAUGAAAAUAUUCUUGCAAGUAGAAGCCAUCAUUCGUCAGGAUAACCCCUGAGGUAUGCAUUAUUGCAAAGGACAACCUCUAUCCACAAGAUCUAAGCAGGGCUAAUCAUUUUUGUAAAUCAUAUUUUGAUACUUCAUUAGAAUUAUCUAUAAAGGUAUGGAUAUCAAGGUAGGCAAUGCAUCCAAUAGUUUCCAAGCAACUCCUAUAAACUUAAUGCACAUUUCAUUAGUCUUAAAGUGUAUAAAAGUCAUUUAAAAUACAAGGAAGGGGCAAAUGCACCGGGGCUUGCCUUUGUUGCAGUAAAGAGGCUCUAGAUCCCUCUAUCCAAUACACAGUUAGAUGGCUCCUCCACUUGAUCAGCAACCACUGGAGUUGACUCCUUCAAACACCACUUCUUCUAGGUGUUCUACAAGUCAAUUACAAAUACAUGUAUGCUUAUGUAAUGAUAUGAAAUGCAAACUCUCACAAGGAGAGGUGGGGAAUAAAAACACUACAACUAAAGCACAUGACAAAGUAUACACAUGGUUCUACACCCCCAACAGUUGCUAAAAGUGGCCAAAUUGAACUUACUUAGGUAUUAAUCUUCCUUUGGUUCCUUCAUCCAAAGAACAACUCUCACUAGGUAAACUUAUCUCCUUUCCAAAUGAUUAACCCACACUUGAUUAGGGAUUAACCACUCUAUUUUGGUGCCCUACAAGACUUUCUGAGCAAAUUGAUUCCAAACAGCCCCAAACUUUUACCAAGUACUCAUAUCCUAAUAACAAACUUCUCCAAAAAAAUCCAUAAUUUUUAGUGCCCAAUUCUAAUUUCUCAAAUUCCAAUAGUCCUUCCAAGAGCACUUUUAAAAUACUAAAAUAUACUGACAGCUUUAAAAAGCCUAAAACUAACUUCACCAGAGAGCUCCUGAUUUUACACAUCCCAUAAAACAUGUCCCAUGAUUUUUGGAUUUUUCUACGAUUUUUGGUACAAUUUCCAAGAACUCUUAUAAAAGAAAAGGCAAAAUUCUAAACAGUCCAGGGACCAAACCGUUGACACGUCCCAAAUCCCAGGCACAGCCGGCCCACGCUGAGGAGCCCAUGCCUGAGGUUUUAUAAAAAGGACACUGCGCUCUGAUUGAAUUCUCGGGUCACUGACAGUUGCACCUGAGCCCCUCGGCUUUCCUUCUUUCACAACGCCUCGGCCCCGACACCGCCGCACAGUUCUCCGGUGAACCGGCACCGGAUCCGCCAUGAUCACACAUCGCAGACGACGGUGACGGUACCAACCAAGUCUCCAGGCUACGGUAAACUCGGUCGUGCACCCAAUUUACCCGCAGAGACUUUGGAACCACUCUACUGUCAGCGGCGGCGGACAGUUGCUCUGACUAUCCUAAUCUCGUGGUCGAGUUCAAAUUAAUGGCAUAGAGAGCUUCACUGACCUUCCAAAGUCUCGGUGCGUGCGCGAGAUUGACCAGGGAUGACUCCAGUCGAUCGGUCCACGGUGAGGCUGCCCGCAGCGCUAGUUCCACGAUGACGUGACUCCGUUCUAGAUCACACACCCCGGUAGAGUCCAAGAACCAAACGACGUGAGCCCUACUGGUCUACAGAGAACACAAAACAUGCACUAUACAGUUGGGAAAUCGCUUGUGAUUACCUGGCCAUGACAAGGUGAUCACAGAACAAACAUAGCAUGAUCGUGUACUUUGCUGAGUUGUCCUGGCCACGGCGAGAUGGCCAAACUGACCGGCAUGGUCACUACUGGUAGGUCACGGCGUGCAAGCUUUGGACAGUGCCAACUUGGGAGGGGCUGGGGAGAGUUAACAUCAGCAUGAACACCAGGUCUCCAACAUCUUUGUAGAGGUUUUUGGCUAGAGCUCGGAAUUAGCAGAGACCAGCACUUAAGUAUAGGAGUGGAGCUAAGGACAGAUCCAAUGGACUUGCCUACCUCGCUGUGAUGAAAAACUAACAGGGGGCCAGCACUGCAGGGUCAAUACACCUGGCUCCUAUGCACAAUACCCGGUUGGCUCAGCACAACACAACCCAAAUAUCAGUUUUGUCCAGUUUUGCAGCUAGCAAACAAAACAGAUAUUUUCUCUACUUGGGGAUAGACUCAAAUUGAUUCAGGGACUUGAUAUUUAGUCCAGUAGCGUGUGAGGUCUCUAGAACCUUUGUUGACCAGCCCAACCACAUCUCAACUCGAGCACACUAGAGAAACCAGCAGGGAGAGGAGAUCUUUUCUUCACCGCCAAAUCUGAUUCAAGGUUCAGUUAACUGAAUUACUCUCUCCACUAUCCCCAAAUCAGUCCAAAAGUGGAUAUUUCGUGGGAAAAAAACUCUAGAACCUGAGUUAGACCAUACAUCCUUAUAUCCAUCCAUAUCACGAUCCAUAGCAUCAGAUGGGCACAACAGGGAGGGAUAAAGCUUCUUCAG
rnacentral:lncRNA from 1 species